rnacentral:rRNA from 1 species
UGUUCGUUAUUGAGGGCGCAUGGUGGAUGCCUUGGCAUGCUGAGCCGAUGAAGGACGUGUAAGGCUGCGUUAAGCCUCGGGGAGUUGUCAAUAAAGCGUUGAUCCGAGGAUGUCCGAAUGGGGAAACCUGGCACCUGUUAUGGGGUGUUACCCUUCAGUGAAUUCAUAGCUGUUGUGGGGGUUGACGCGGGGAAGUGAAACAUCUCAGUACCCGUAGGAAGAGAAAAUAAUAAUGAUUCUGCUAGUAGUGGCGAACGAACGUGGAUGAGGCUAAACCGUGUGCAUGUGAUACCUGGUAGGGGUUGUGUGUGCGGUGUUGUGGGCCCUGAUGAGGACGGCUACUGACGUCCUGUCCGCGCAUUGUUGUUAGGUGAAGUGGUGUGGAAACGCCUGCCGUAGAAGGUGAUAGUCCUGUAGCUGAAGAUGAUGGUGUGUGGGUUGUUGGGUUGCCCGAGUAGCAGCGGGCUCGUGGAAUCUGCUGUGAAUCUGCCGGGACCACCCGGUAAGCCUAAAUACUCAGUGUGACCGAUAGUGGAUAGUACCGUGAGGGAAUGGUGAAAAGUACCCCGGGAGGGGAGUGAAAUAGUUCCUGAAACCAUGUGCUUACAAUCCGUCAGAGCACCUUUUGUGUGUGAUGGCGUGCCUUUUGAAGAAUGAGCCUGCGAGUCAGCGGCAUGUCGCGAGGUUAACCCGUGUGGGGUAGCCGUAGGGAAACCGAAUCCUAAUGGGGUGGCAAGUGGCAUGUCCUGGACCCGAAGCGGGGUGAUCUACCCAUGGCCAGUGUGAAGCAGCAGUAAGAUGCUGUGGAGGCGCGAACCCACGUAGGUUGAAAACUGCGGGGAUGAGCUGUGGGUAGGGGUGAAAGGCCAAUCAAACUCCGUGAUAGCUGGUUCUCCCCGAAAUGCAUUUAGGUGCAGCGUCGCAUUAGCUUGGUGGAGGUAGAGCUACUGGUUGGUUGAGCGGGACUACAAUCUUAGCAAUGUCAGCCAAACUCCGAAUGCCAUUAAUGUGUUGUGCGGCAGUGAGACUGUGGGGGAUAAGCUUCAUAGUCGAGAGGGAAACAGCCCAGAUCGCCGGUUAAGGCCCCUAAGGGUGUGCUAAGUGGAAAAGGAUGUGGGAUCGCGAAGACAGCCAGGAGGUUGGCUUAGAAGCAGCCAUCCUUGAAAGAGUGCGUAAUAGCUCACUGGUCGAGUGGUUCUGCGCCGACAAUGUAGUGGGGCUCAAGCACACCGCCGAAGCCGCGGCAAUAAUAUUUUGUUAUUGGGUAGGGGAGCGUCGUGCACGUGUUGAAGCGUUACCGUAAGGAGGCGUGGAGUGUGUGCGAGUGAGAAUGCAGGCAUGAGUAACGAAUUGGAAGGUGAGAAUCCUUCCCGCCGGAUGACUAAGGGUUCCUGGGUCAAGUUCGUCUUCCCAGGGUGAGUCGGGACCUAAGGCGAGGCCGACAGGCGUAGUCGAUGGAUAACCAGUUGAUAUUCUGGUACCCGAGUAUAUGCGCCCCUGAUAAAGCACUGAUACUAACCACCGUGCGCCAUUGUGAUUGACCUUCGGGUUAACGCGGUGGCAAGCCGUGGGGCCUGAUGUGUGGUUCAAGCGAUGGGGUGACACAGUGGGGUAGCCAUGCCGCUUAAUGGAUUGUUGGUGUAAGCGUGUAGGCGAUGGUGUAGGUAAAUCCGCACCUGUUAGCUCAGACGUGAUGCGUAGCCUUAAUUGGUGAAGUUGGUGAUCCCGUGCUGUCGAGAAAAGCCUCUAGCGAUGUAUAUACUCGGCCCGUACCCCAAACCGACACAGGUAGUCAGGUUGAAAAUACUAAGGCGUUCGGGUGAACUGUGGUUAAGGAACUCGGCAAAAUGCCCCCGUAACUUCGGGAGAAGGGGGACCACAUGACGUCAACACCCUUGCGGUGGGCAGCGUUGUGGGGUCGCAGAGAAUAGAGGGAAGCGACUGUUUAUCAAAAACACAGGUCCAUGCGAAGACGUUAAGUUGAUGUAUAUGGACUGACGCCUGCCCGGUGCUGGAAGGUUAAGAGGACCGGUUAAUCAAGCUUUGCUUGGUGAAGCUGAGAAUUUAAGCCCCAGUAAACGGCGGUGGUAACUAUAACCAUCCUAAGGUAGCGAAAUUCCUUGUCGGGUAAGUUCCGACCUGCACGAAUGGCGUAACGACUUCCCUGCUGUCUCAACCACAGGCCCGGUGAAAUUGCACUACGAGUAAAGAUGCUCGUUACGCGCGGCAGGACGAAAAGACCCCGGGACCUUCACUAUAGCUUGGUAUUGGUGUUCGGUUCGGUUUGUGUAGGAUAGGUGGGAGACUAUGAAACAUGCACGCCAGUGUGUGUGGAGUCGUUGUUGAAAUACCACUCUGAUCGGAUUGGAUACCUUAACCUUGGCCCAUGAUCUGGGUUGGGGACAGUGCCUGGUGGGUAGUUUAACUGGGGCGGUUGCCUCCCAAAAUGUAACGGAGGCGCCCAAAGGUUCCCUCAGCCUGGUUGGCAAUCAGGUGGUGAGUGUAAGUGCACAAGGGAGCUUGACUGUGAGAGUGACAGCUCGAACAGGGACGAAAGUCGGGACUAGUGAUCCGGCACCUACUUGUGGAUGUGGUGUCGCUCAACGGAUAAAAGGUACCCCGGGGAUAACAGGCUGAUCUUCCCCAAGAGUCCAUAUCGACGGGAUGGUUUGGCACCUCGAUGUCGGCUCGUCGCAUCCUGGGGCUGGAGUAGGUCCCAAGGGUUGGGCUGUUCGCCCAUUAAAGCGGCACGCGAGCUGGGUUCAGAACGUCGUGAGACAGUUCGGUCUCUAUCCGCCGCGCGCGUUGAAACUUGAAGAAGGCUGUCCCUAGUACGAGAGGACCGGGACGGACGUACCUCUAGUGUGCCAGUUGUUCCGCCAGGGGCAUCGCUGGUUGGCUACGUACGGAAGGGAUAACCGCUGAAAGCAUCUAAGCGGGAAGCCUGUUUUAAGAUGAGGUUUCAUUUGAGGUCCCCUAAAGACUAUGGGGUUGAUAGGCCAGACAUGGAAGCGCCGCAAGGUGUGAAGUCUACUGGUACUAAUAGACCAAAACAAACACACAC